rnacentral:rRNA from 1 species
UACGUAGGGUGCGAGCGUUGUCCGGAAUUAUUGGGCGUAAAGAGCUUGUAGGCGGUUUGUCGCGUCUGCCGUGAAAAUCCGGGGCUCAACCCCGGACUUGCGGUGGGUACGGGCAGACUAGAGUGUGGUAGGGGAGACUGGAAUUCCUGGUGUAGCGGUGAAAUGCGCAGAUAUCAGGAGGAACACCGAUGGCGAAGGCAGGUCUCUGGGCCGGUACUGACGCUGAGACGCGAAAGCGUGGGGAGCGAACAGG